GGGGAUGUAUAGUCCUCUUAUGAGGCUAGUUAUGUUAUGAUUGGGAAUGCAUCCUGGUGAGAUUACGAUUAUAAUAUAAUACCAACUACGUUGGAUAAAGUUCUAGAUAGAAUACUGAUCAUGACAAUUUUCUAUCUACAUGUCUUGACCAAAUUACGUGCCAGCAGUCGCGGUAAUACGUAGAAGACUAGUGUUAUUCAUCUUUAAUAGGUUUAAAGGGUACCUAGACGGUGAAAUCUAACCUUAAAUACGGAAAUAGUUUUACUAGAGUUUGAUAUGAGGAGGCGAGUAUUUACGGAGUAGAGUUGAAAUUCUUUGAUACCUUAAGGACUGGUAAAGGCGAAAGCAACCUCUUAUGUAAAAACUGACGUUGAGGGACGAAGGCUUGGAUAGCGAACAGGAUUAGAUACCCUAGUAGUCUUUGCAGAAAAUGAUGAAUGCCAUAGGCUAGAGUUUUAUUUGGUCUAUAAAUGAAAGUGUAAGCAUUCCACCUCAAGAGUAAUGUGGCAACGCAGGAACUGAAAUCAUUAGACCGUUUCUGAGAACAGUAGUGAAGUAUGUUAUUUAAUUCGAUAAUCCUCGAAAAACCUUACCACAACUUGAAUGAUGUCAUCAGUUCAGUUCAGUUCAGUUAUUACAACUAACUGCUUAUGAUAAAUGAAGAAGUGCAUUUAUUACAAUUAACUGCUUAUGAUAAAUGAACAAGUGCAUUUAUUACAAUUAACUGUAGAAGAUAAAUGAAGAAAUGCAUUUAUUAGGGUGAUGUUACAAGCGUUGCACGGUUGUCUUCAGCUAAUGUCGUGAGAUUUUGGUUAGUUCCAUAAAAUUAGCGUAAACCCCGGCUUUAUUUUUAAAUUAUUAUCAUAGAGCAGUUCAUCAUUAUAUUGAAUACAUGAUAA
rnacentral:rRNA from 2 species